rnacentral:lncRNA from 1 species
GCACCCCCACCCGCGGGGCUGAGGUCCGUCGGGCUCUGAGCGGGAGGAAAGAUUGUAAGAGAAGCGAGUGUCUCCUCUGGUGACUGGCUCAGGGGGAAGAAAGUGUAAAAAACAGCCAAAGAGGAAUCCAGCAAGAGAUUAAGAGGGCCUUCAAAAAUCACCUGAAAGGAGAAAGAAAAUUAAAGAAAAAAGCACCAUUUAGGAAUAAAGGUAUUUCUAUCCUACAUAGAUUUUUGUGCCCUUUUUUUGGAGGA